CCUACGGGAGGCAGCAGUAGGGAAUUUUGCGCAAUGGGGGAAACCCUGACGCAGCAACGCCAUGUGUGGGAUGAAGCAUUUCGGUGUGUAAACCACUGUCAGCAGGGAAUAAAAGGCCUUAUAGGCAUUUGAAUGUACCUGCGAAGGAAGCCCCGGCUAACUUCGUGCCAGCAGCCGCGGUAAU
rnacentral:rRNA from 1 species